rnacentral:rRNA from 1 species
UACGGAGGGUGCAAGCGUUAUCCGGAUUCACUGGGUUUAAAGGGUGCGUAGGUGGGUCUGUAAGUCAGUGGUGAAAUCUCCAGGCUUAACUUGGAAACUGCCAUUGAUACUAUCUGUCUUGAAUAUCCUGGAGGUGAGCGGAAUAUGUCAUGUAGCGGUGAAAUGCUUAGAUAUGACAUAGAACACCUAUUGCGAAGGCAGCUCACUACGGGAUUAUUGACACUGAGGCACGAAAGCGUGGGGAUCAAACAGG